rnacentral:rRNA from 1 species
UGCAGUCGACGGCAGCACGGACUUCGGUCUGGUGGCGAGUGGCGAACGGGUGAGUAAUAUAUCGGAACAUACCCAGUAGUGGGGGAUAACUAUCCGAAAGGAUAGCUAAUACCGCAUACGAUCUGUGGAUGAAAGCAGGGGAUCUUCGGACCUUGUGCUAUUGGAAUGGCCGAUAUCUGAUUAGCUAGUUGGUAGGGUAAAAGCCUACCAAGGCGACGAUCAGUAGCUGGUCUGAGAGGACGACCAGCCACACUGGAACUGAGACACGGUCCAGACUCCUACGGGAGGCAGCAGUGGGGAAUUUUGGACAAUGGGGGCAACCCUGAUCCAGCAAUGCCGCGUGAGUGAAGAAGGCCCUCGGGUUGUAAAGCUCUUUUGUCAGGGAAGAAACGGAGUUCUCUAAUAUAGGAUUCUAAUGACGGUACCUGAAGAAUAAGCACCGGCUAACUACGUGCCAGCAGCCGCGGUAAUACGUAGGGUGCAAGCGUUAAUCGGAAUUACUGGGCGUAAAGCGUGCGCAGGCGGUUUUGUAAGUCUGAUGUGAAAUCCCCGGGCUCAACCUGGGAACUGCAUUGGAGACUGCAAGGCUAGAGUGUGUCAGAGGGGGGUAGAAUUCCACGUGUAGCAGUGAAAUGCGUAGAGAUGUGGAGGAAUACCGAUGGCGAAGGCAGCCCCCUGGGAUAACACUGACGCUCAUGCACGAAAGCGUGGGGAGCAAACAGGAUUAGAUACCCUGGUAGUCCACGCCCUAAACGAUGUCUACUAGUUGUCGGGACUUAAUUGUCUUGGUAACGCAGCUAACGCGUGAAGUAGACCGCCUGGGGAGUACGGUCGCAAGAUUAAAACUCAAAGGAAUUGACGGGGACCCGCACAAGCGGUGGAUGAUGUGGAUUAAUUCGAUGCAACGCGAAAAACCUUACCUACCCUUGACAUGGCAGGAAUCCCGAAGAGAUUUGGGAG